rnacentral:tRNA from 1 species
GGUAAGGUAGCUCAGUGGGAGAGUGCUUGCCUUGCAUGCAUGAGGCCCUGGGUUUGAUUCCUCAGCACCA